UGAGGAAUAUUGGUCAAUGGGCGCAAGCCUGAACCAGCCAUGCCGCGUGCAGGAUGAAGCAUCUAUGGUGUGUAAACUGCUUUUAUACAGGAAGAAACACUCCCUCGUGAGGGAGCUUGACGGUACUGUAGGAAUAAGGAUCGGCUAACUCCGUGCCAGCAGCCGCGGUAAUACGGAGGAUCCAAGCGUUAUCCGGAAUCAUUGGGUUUAAAGGGUCCGUAGGCGGCCCUGUAAGUCAGUGGUGAAAUCUCCCCGCUCAACGGGGAAACGGCCAUUGAUACUGCAGGGCUUGAAUUAUUGGGAAGUAACUAGAAUAUGUAGUGUAGCGGUGAAAUGCUUAGAUAUUACAUGGAAUACCAAUUGCGAAGGCAGGUUACUAUCAAUACAUUGACGCUGAUGGACGAAAGCGUGGGUAGCGAACAGG
rnacentral:rRNA from 1 species